rnacentral:lncRNA from 1 species
UUUACUUUUUGAGACCAUGUUAUUGGGUAUAAAUGUAAAAUUGUUAUGUCUUCCUGGUAAAUUGAAACUCAUAUCACUAUGGAGCAACCUUUCUAUUUGCUUUUUUUCUUUACAGUCUACUUUGCUGACAUUAACAUUCUUGUAUUAAUGUGGUCAAGGACAAUCUGUCUAGAUUGAUAAUCUUUGUCCUUUAUAUGGAGAAUUUAAUCUAUUCGCAUUUCAUGUCACAAUUGGUAUACAGUAUUUGGGUUUAAAUCUAAAUUACAGAGAUAACUGGAGACUUAGGAUGAUGUUAUCUUCCUCUAGAAUAGAUUUAUAUUUGCUUCUGACAUGAUUUGUAGCAGUUCCAUGUCACUGUAAUGUAAUCAGAGAUUAAGAUGAUUUUUGAAAAAUAAUGUGAAAAGUUUACAUGGAUUUCUUCACUUAAGAAAUUUGGAUUUUUAAGAUAUUUUAUCCAAGAAAUACAAAUUUUUGUGUAGAGGACACAGAGGCACAUCAUAAAGAGGAAGGUUGAGAUUGUGGGUUUAGAAGACCAAACUACCUUACUCCCACCUAAUCAGUGAAGUCAGGGAAAAAAUAUCAAAGCUAGACCCAUUUAAAUACUGAUUUGCGGUAAAUGUGUCACAGCAGUUUCAGAUGCAAAUAAGAUGUUAUUACAAAGUUUUAAGGGUCUGUUAACUCACUCUGCAUGCGUAUCCUUAGAACCAUUUCACACUCAGCAACAUGAGUUUUUGUUCAACUCAACGUUGCACUUUAGCUUUAAACUUCCCGUGGUGGAAAUUAUUGUUCUUGUAAUUAGCCCAGUCAUAAAUGACAUU